AGAGUUUGAUCAUGGCUCAGAAUCAACGCUGGCGGCGUGCCUCAGACAUGCAAGUCGAACGAUUAAAGCUCCCUUCGGGAGUGCAUAAAGUGGCGCACGGGUGAGUAACACGUAAGUAAUCUACCCUCGGGUGGGGAAUAACGUUCGGAAACGGACGCUAAUACCGCAUAAUGCAGCGGCACCGCAAGGUGACAGUUGUUAAAGGAGAAAUCCGCCUGGGGAGGAGCUUGCGGCAGAUUAGCUUGUUGGUAAGGUAACGGCUUACCAAGGCUACGAUCUGUAUCCGGUCUAAGAGGACGGUCGGACACACUGACACUGAAUAACGGGUCAGACUCCUACGGGAGGCAGCAGUCGGGAAUUUUGGGCAAUGGGGGAAACCCUGACCCAGCAACGCCGCGUGAAGGAUGAAGUAUUUCGGUAUGUAAACUUCGAAAGAAUAGGAAGAAUUAAUGACGGUACUAUUUAUAAGGUCCGGCUAACUACGUGCCAGCAGCCGCGGUAAUAC
rnacentral:rRNA from 1 species